UGUCCUUUCAAUAGCUUCAGUAGUAUCCUGAUGUCAUUAAAAGGCCACAGGUGGCACUGGAGAUGUGGUUGGACGAGAGAAUGGGUGCUUAGCAUACACAAAGCUCUGCUUUUGUUCCACAGAAGCAUGUAGAGGGAGCAGAGGUUUUCUAUUCUUUUCACAGCUUAAAGGCAAAUAUAGAUGGAUAAGCAAACAGAGGUCACUAUUGCCUUCACAGCCAAAGCGGCUGUGUGAGAUAUAUGUGGAGAUGCUGGUUGGAGCCAUUUGAUGGCAUUCAGCUUUGUGUGUCCCCCAAGGAGAAGAAAGAAUCCUCCAGCAGGUCUGGGUUGUGCUUCUGGCCGUACAACAUCUGUGGAGAAGAAGGAUGUCAUGUGGAAUUUACAACAGAUCCUAAUGGGAGAGUCUCCCUAUCGAUACCCAAGAUUGUGGAGAUGUACAGAAAUUAUGCACCCGCUGAAAGCCAAAUCUUGGCAUAGUCUUGGAACCUGAUUUCCCCUACCUGGCAUGUGCCAUCAGGUAGCCAUCAACCAGAAAUAACCUGGCAGGCUGGAUUCUGUCUGACUACCAAGUUAGGAAGGCUGAAGGGUUCAUAAACAAUCAAUUAUAUGAAAGAAGUGAAACAGAGUGUAGCAACAGGCAUGGGACCAAGAAUUCCCUUUUAAAAGUACAGCUGAAGGAGCCCCGCUCAGUCCCAAAGUGGCCUGGAUGACUUCCCCUUUUGUUUGCCAGAGCCAAAUCGAUCUUUUGUGACUUUGCUCUGCUCAUGUUACUUUACAAUCCAGCUUGGAGCUGUUUCUCCACGAUUUAGCUAUUUCUACAUUUGUUUUGUUUUUCAGUGCUGCCUAGCACCUGCCAACUUAUUUUUAAAACUACAGAAUUCCUGUUUGAAAAAUGAAGUAUGCAUGUAGAAGUGUGCUGUGCCCUGACUUUCAACAUAAUUUGGAACCCAAGAGAAAGGGACAUUAUCCUGAAAGUUUUAGUACUUCAGGACUUAGAAAAUCCAUAUUUGGCCGGGCGUUGGUGGCACACACCUUUAAUCCCAGCACUUGGGAGGCAGAGGCAGAUGGAUCUCUGUGAGUUCAAGACCAGCCUGGUCUACAAGAGCUAGUUCCAGGACAGCCUCCAAAAGCCACAGAGAAACCCAG
rnacentral:lncRNA from 1 species